AAAUUGAAGAGUUUGAUCAUGGCUCAGAUUGAACGCUGGCGGCAGGCCUAACACAUGCAAGUCGAACGGUAACAGGAAGCAGCUUGCUGCUUCGCUGACGAGUGGCGGACGGGUGAGUAAUGUCUGGGAAACUGCCUGAUGGAGGGGGAUAACUACUGGAAACGGUAGCUAAUACCGCAUAACGUCGCAAGACCAAAGAGGGGGACCUUCGGGCCUCUUGCCAUCAGAUGUGCCCAGAUGGGAUUAGCUUGUUGGUGGGGUAACGGCUCACCAAGGCGACGAUCCCUAGCUGGUCUGAGAGGAUGACCAGCCACACUGGAACUGAGACACGGUCCAGACUCCUACGGGAGGCAGCAGUGGGGAAUAUUGCACAAUGGGCGCAAGCCUGAUGCAGCCAUGCCGCGUGUAUGAAGAAGGCCUUCGGGUUGUAAAGUACUUUCAGCGGGGAGGAAGGUGUUGUGGUUAAUAACCGCAGCAAUUGACGUUACCCGCAGAAGAAGCACCGGCUAACUCCGUGCCAGCAGCCGCGGUAAUACGGAGGGUGCAAGCGUUAAUCGGAAUUACUGGGCGUAAAGCGCACGCAGGCGGUCUGUUAAGUCAGAUGUGAAAUCCCCGGGCUCAACCUGGGAACUGCAUCUGAUACUGGCAGGCUUGAGUCUCGUAGAGGGGGGUAGAAUUCCAGGUGUAGCGGUGAAAUGCGUAGAGAUCUGGAGGAAUACCGGUGGCGAAGGCGGCCCCCUGGACGAAGACUGACGCUCAGGUGCGAAAGCGUGGGGAGCAAACAGGAUUAGAUACCCUGGUAGUCCACGCCGUAAACGAUGUCGACUUGGAGGUUGUGCCCUUGAGGCGUGGCUUCCGGAGCUAACGCGUUAAGUCGACCGCCUGGGGAGUACGGCCGCAAGGUUAAAACUCAAAUGAAUUGACGGGGGCCCGCACAAGCGGUGGAGCAUGUGGUUUAAUUCGAUGCAACGCGAAGAACCUUACCUGGUCUUGACAUCCACGGAAGUUUUCAGAGAUGAGAAUGUGCCUUCGGGAACCGUGAGACAGGUGCUGCAUGGCUGUCGUCAGCUCGUGUUGUGAAAUGUUGGGUUAAGUCCCGCAACGAGCGCAACCCUUAUCCUUUGUUGCCAGCGGUUAGGCCGGGAACUCAAAGGAGACUGCCAGUGAUAAACUGGAGGAAGGUGGGGAUGACGUCAAGUCAUCAUGGCCCUUACGACCAGGGCUACACACGUGCUACAAUGGCAUAUACAAAGAGAAGCGACCUCGCGAGAGCAAGCGGACCUCAUAAAGUAUGUCGUAGUCCGGAUUGGAGUCUGCAACUCGACUCCAUGAAGUCGGAAUCGCUAGUAAUCGUGGAUCAGAAUGCCACGGUGAAUACGUUCCCGGGCCUUGUACACACCGCCCGUCACACCAUGGGAGUGGGUUGCAAAAGAAGUAGGUAGCUUAACCUCCGGGAGGGCGCUUACCACUUUGUGAUUCAUGACUGGGGUGAAGUCGUAACAAGGUAACCGUAGGGGAACCUGCGGUUGGAUCACCUCCUUA
rnacentral:rRNA from 1 species